rnacentral:lncRNA from 1 species
UUUAGAGGAACUGGGAACAGAACCAAGUUUCUUAUUACCAAGACACCUGCAGGUCGUUCUUUCUCAGACGUUACCAGCUCCUUCCCUAAGCACCUGAAAGCACUUAUGUGGAGCCUAUCACCACAGCACCAUGAGAAACACUGCUGCUGCUCACCCUCAUCACCACUCCCAGGGAAAGAGCUCAGACCAACUGCCGCAGCCCUUCCCCGCAGAUGGAGUGCUUUUUGUUAGGAUGUUCUCAAGCACCUGGAUGAAGAGCAAGAAGUGCCAUGAACUUUUCAGCUGGCUCGUUGGGAUGACACCUUCAUGAUGCCUACUAUCACAGUCUGACUUAACCUUCCUCGUGGACUUCUGUCGUGAGAAAUUACCUGGACUAAGUUUCUUCAUUUGGAGCAAUCAUAAC